rnacentral:rRNA from 1 species
UAAGGAAUCUUCCGCAAUGGGCGAAAGCCUGACGGAGCGACACCGCGUGGUGGAUGACGGCCUAUGGGUUGUAAACACCUUUUCUAUGGGAAGAAGAUCUGACGGUACCAUAGGAAUAAGCCCCGGCUAAUUACGUGCCAGCAGCCGCGGUAAUACGUAAGGGGCAAGCGUUACCCGGAAUUAUUGGGCGUAAAGCGUCCGCAGGCGGAAGCAUAAGUCAGUUAUUAAAUACCGGUGCUCAACAUCGGUGCUGUAACCGAAACUGUGUUUCUAGAGGAUGGGAGAGGUAUGUGGAAUUGUGCAAGUAGGUGUAAAAUCCGUAGAUAUGCACAGGAACACCAAAAGCGAAGGCAGCAUACUGGACCAUUCCUGACGCUCAGGGACGAAAGCGUGGGUAGCAAAAGGGAUUAGAUACCCGGGUAGUCC